GUGAUGCCAUAAGUAUAACCUGAACCAGUUUUAGAUAUAUGGACAUUUAAGGAAAACGUUCCUACUGACGUUGGAUUUUGCCGCACGUAACUUGGUUACUGGCAGACAUGGAGGAGACGAGCGCAGUGGACGGAAACUGGCAAGGAGCCCUGGACGGGAAGGUCCCAGCCUGCAGACUGUCCUCUAACCAGCUGAACUUCCAAGGACAACCCACAACCUCUGGGAGCCUCAGCGUCCUCGCAUAUUGAAUAAAGGUGCCUUGGGCUUCCGGAGAAGCUCGGAUGGAGCCUUGCAUGGUGGAAGGACUCACGCCAGGGUCAAACCGAGAAGUAUUGGCCUCAGCUCAUUGGCUUGGAAAUGGCAUAAAUGGCAAAACUAAUAUCGACUCCGUUCUCAAAACCACAGGCAUGCACCAGGCUGUGCUCUGGAUUCCGUGUGUGCAUUUGCCGUUAACUGGCCUGGAUUCCAAAUUGCACCUGCUAGCAGUAUGUAACUCAGGAGUUUUUAAGGCCUCGUAAAAAUGAACUGCACGUCAAUGAAGAUAUUUAAGAGAGGAAGAGGGAAGUCUUCCUUUACAAUAUUUUCAAGAGCGAAGUCACCACAGGGGGAGGCAAACAGAGGAUAAAAGCUUCUGAUCCGAGAAACGAGCAUCACGUGGCUACAAUCAGGCAGACCUCCGGCUUCGACUAGACCGAGACAGAGGCCAGCCAAGGAUUCCGGACAUGGACAGCACGUCCCUAAGGGACACGAACAGCGGGUGUGCAAUUCGUUCCUCCACACCUGCACCCACGCAGUGAGCUGCCUACUCCUCACCAGGUGAGGUAUGAUUCCUCUGCCCUCGAAACUCAGUCGGCCGCACUGAAGCUUGUACUCGUACAACACCGCAGAAGUGACACACUGUGACUUCCCCAGCUGGGUCAGAAAAAGGCUCUGCAGCUUCCACCUGGUUAUUCUGGGACACCUGACCCCGCGGCA